GACAUUCCAGCUUCAUUUUGGAGUGACCAUUCCUAAAAGCAAAAAGACAGCAGUGACUCUGGACCACUUUUUCUGCUGAGAUCAAUUGUCUGCUACAAUGAUGGAUGUUUCUUUACUUUGGACUAAGCUGAAAUUCCUGUCUCGUUUCUUGUCUCUGAAGAGCAUGAAGGUGUUUCAGCUUCUUUUAUAACUGAAGGAUGAAAUAAACCAUUGCAGAUGAACCAAUUGUUCUGGCACGAAACUCUGCUUCCCAUCUUCAAAUAGCCUGUAUUGGAAAGCCUCACAAAGCAUUGCAGAAUGUCUUCAGGUGACAAUUAUUUGGAGAAGUUACUGCCCUCAUAAUGUAGUUUUACCCAGCCUAAUUAUAUACUGACACCAUGAAUAAAGAAGAGUUCCCAUUGUGAAAUACUGAGAAGCUGCUGUGCCCCUCCCAGCCCAAUGCUGCUGAAUAAAUCAACUUUAACUUCCAGUGGUGCAACUUCUGGCUUUCUGAUUUUUUGAAGCCUGUACUGAAUGAACUGCACAACUGGUCCAGCUUACUCUGCCUUUGAUCUUCAAAGAUGUUUCAAAUAUUAUCAACAUGUUUAAUUUUUUUUGCUUUUUCCAUAUUUUGCUUAAGAGGAAUGUUGUGCUCAUGAAGCAUCACCUUCGUAGUGCUGGAAGACAAAUUUUUCAGCAUGAGCUCAUUGCUGCUCCAUUGCUGCUGUCUCACUCAAUGUCCUCCUGCUUGAGGAACAUUAGAUUCUGUACUGCAUCAAAAUCUUUUAUCAUGGGGAUUCUUAAUGUUUAUAUUGUUUUGAAGAGGCAGAGCUAUCAAGCAGCUAUAAUAUUUGUAAAAAAAAAUAAUUCUGCACUGUAUAAUCAGUAUUCUUCUGCUGGUGAAAAUAAAAGCUUCAGUUUGGCUACACCUUUUAAAUGCUUAUUGAGAGCUGCCAACUUUGAAGUAUGAUGUGGUGUAAAGCUUCAUAUUUUAUUUCUUCUGUAUGGUCAAGUUUAACUGAUGCUUAUGGACUUAUUUAAAUUUCCUUAAGAGACAAAUAAAAAGAGCACUCUU
rnacentral:lncRNA from 7 species